ACGAGUGGCGGACGGGUGAGUAAUGUCUGGGAAACUGCCUGGUGAGGGGAUAACUACUGGAAACGGUAGCUAAUACCGUAUAACGUCGCAAGACCAAAGAGGGGGACCUUAGGGCCUCUUGCCAUCGGAUGUGCCCAGAUGGGAUUAGCUAGUAGGUGGGGUAACGGCUCACCUAGGCGACGAUCCCUAGCUGGUCUGAGAGGAUGACCAGCCACACUGGAACUGAGACACGGUCCAG
rnacentral:rRNA from 1 species